UACGGAGGGGGCUAGCGUUGUUCGGAAUUACUGGGCGUAAAGCGCACGUAGGCGGCUUUGUAAGUUAGAGGUGAAAGCCCCGGAGCUCAACUCCGGAAUUGCCUUUAAGACUGCAUCGCUAGAAUUGUGGAGAGGUAAGUGGAAUUCCGAGUGUAGAGGUGAAAUUCGUAGAUAUUCGGAAGAACACCAGUGGCGAAGGCGACUUACUGGACACAUAUUGACGCUGAGGUGCGAAAGCGUGGGGAGCAAACAGG
rnacentral:rRNA from 1 species